GUUUCUGUAGUGUAGUGGUCAUCACGUUUGCCUAACACGCAAAAAGUCCCCAGUUCGAAACUGUGCGGAAACA
rnacentral:tRNA from 1 species